rnacentral:lncRNA from 1 species
UUUAAUUGUUUGAUUAGGUGUGUUAUUUGCCAUAUUGGUUCUGUUGUUAGCAGUAAAUUUUACAGUUUUACUAUAUUUGUCCCUAAAAUUAUAUAAAAGAUUUUUGUAAAAUGAAAUAAUCCAAAGUUGAAAAUUAAAAAAGUAAGGAGAUUUAAAAAAAAAUUGUUUGGUGCACCUCAAAUUUUUUAAUAUCCCUUUUUAGCCUCAUUCUUCCAAGCAAAGCCUGCUUCCUCUCUCCCUGAAACCUUCACUGAGUCACCUCCGCACCACCCGACCGCUGCUACCUCCCUCCAUCGUGUGUGCAAUCCCCCUGCACACUAGAUCCGCGCAUGGCAUCACCCCGUCAAUCUGAUUCUUAUAUUGUAAUCUUACACCUUCUACACCAUAUUAUUCCUCGUCGAGGACCAUGUGGUAGUAAACAUUAACUUACCCAUAAAAUCGAGCAAACCAGCGGCGUCGACAAAUAAUCCUUCACUGUUACAAUAACAUCCAUCACUGUUCCGUUGCUGCACUCAGAGAGGGUCCAGGGAUUUGCAUUAUGGCGCAUUAAGGUGCAUCGCCGCGUGAGAAGAGGACAAAAUCAGGUUGGAUUGUUGGUAUCGUUUGAAGGAUAACCUGCAAUUUCGACGUAACCUUAACUCAGUAGAUAAUUUUGGAAUUAGAAUAAUAAAACUUUUGCAUUUAAACGCCGAUGCCGCAAUCACUUUUUAAGUAACGGUAACAAAUACUAAUUGAAAUCUGGAAUUUAGUUUUUGUUUCAUAAUUUAGUGUUCAUUGGUGUUGGGAUUCUAAAUGCAAGAGAAAUUUGUAGGUGGACAAAAUUUGGAUUAGUAGGACAAAACUAGAUUGUCAAGUUUCUUGCUAAUGGUUGGAGGUGAUGGGUCAAGUAUGAAGAAGGAAAAAUAGAUUAGAACGAUUCCUCGAAAAUUACCUUCGUGGUGGCAGCAAGAAGGGGAGAGAGUAGGUAAGUUGGGGGGAG